UAGCCAUGAUGUGGACAAUCACUUAGAAGGUCCUUAAACCUCUCUUAGCAUUGGAAGAAGGUUUCUUUCGCUUUUUGUGAGAAAUUCAUAAUGAACCUUCUAAGGGU